rnacentral:rRNA from 1 species
UACGUAGGUGGCAAGCGUUGUCCGGAUUUACUGGGCGUAAAGAGCGCGCAGGCGGUUAAUUAAGUCGAAUGUGAAAGCCCCCGGCUCAACUGGGGAGGGUCAUUCGAUACUGAUCGACUCGAAGGCAGGAGAGGGUAGUGGAAUUCCCGGUGUAGCAGUGAAAUGCGUAGAUAUCGGGAGGAAUACCGAUGGCGAAGGCAGGUCUCUGGGCUGACACUGACGCUCAUGCACGAAAGCGUGGGGAGCAAACAGG